CUGGAAAACCUAAGAUGGGAGCAUAAAUAGCUGUGAGAUAAAGUGAAAAGGAGAACAGCUACGAUGCUUCACCCAGACCAUUGCACAUCACAUCAGAGAGGAAGACACAUGUGUGAUUCAUUUUCUUAAGCCUCAAGUCUAAGGAUUUACCUAAGGAUCCAGGAAUGUCAUGAGGUCCUGUUUCCUCCUUUUACUUAAAAAAGUCACCUUCAUGUGAAAUAACCUGCUAUUUUGCCAAACCGGUCUGUCAGUAUAAGGAAGCCUGGGAAUGCCUUAGCGGAC